rnacentral:rRNA from 1 species
GGUGUGGGGGACAUUCCACGUUUUCCGCGCCGUAGCUAACGCAUUAAGUGCCCCGCCUGGGGAGUACGGCCGCAAGGCUAAAACUCAAAGGAAUUGACGGGGGCCCGCACAAGCGGCGGAGCAUGCGGAUUAAUUCGAUGCAACGCGAAGAACCUUACCAAGGCUUGACAUGAACCGGAAAGACCUGGAAACAGGUGCCCCGCUUGCGGUCGGUUUACAGGUGGUGCAUGGUUGUCGUCAGCUCGUGUCGUGAGAUGUUGGGUUAAGUCCCGCAACGAGCGCAACCCUCGUUCUAUGUUGCCAGCACGUGAUGGUGGGGACUCAUAGGAGACUGCCGGGGUCAACUCGGA